GGAGGGAUGGCCGAGUGGACGAAGGCGCCGUUUUGGAAAAGCGGUGUAGGGGCACAAACCUCUACCGUGGGUUCGAAUCCCACUCCCUCCGCCA
rnacentral:tRNA from 3 species